rnacentral:rRNA from 1 species
UGGGCUAGAAUGCCACUUGACCGGUCCUGAAAGGGAUUUUUGUAGCAAUACACAGGUGGUAAGGUGCUGCAUGGCUGUCGUCAGCUCGUGCCGUGAGGUGUUGGGUUAAGUCCCGCAACGAGCGCAACCCCCAUCAUUAGUUGCCAUCAGGUAAAGCUGGGAACUCUAAUGAAACUGCCGUCGUAAGACGUGAGGAAGGAGGGGAUGAUGUCAAGUCAUCAUGGCCUUUAUGCCCAGGGCUACACACGUGCUACAAUGGGGCGUACAAAGGGCUGCAACACAGUGAUGUGAAGCUAAUCCCAAAAAACGUCUCUCAGUUCAGAUCGUAGUCUGCAACUCGACUACGUGAAGCUGGAAUCGCUAGUAAUCGUAUAUCAGCAAUGAUACGGUGAAUACGUUCCCGGACC